ACACAAAGAGACAGACAGACAUGCAGUAAGAGAGACAGACAAGCAGGCAGACAAAAGAGAGAGAGAGAGAGAGAGAGAGAGAGAGAGAGACAUAUAGACACAAAGAGAGACAGACAGACAUGCAGUAAGAGAGACAGACAAGCAGGCAGGCAGACAAAAAGAGACAGACAGACAUGCAGUAAGAGAGACAGACAAGCAGGCAGACAAAAAGAGAGAGAGAGAGAGAGAGAGAGAGAGAGACAGACAGACAGACAUAUAGACCACAAAGAGAGACAGACAGACAUGCAGUAAGAGAGACAGACAAAGCAGGCAGACAAAAAGAGACAGACAGACAUGCAGUAAGAGAGACAGACAAGCAGGCAGACAAAAAGAGAGAGAGAGAAAGAGAGAGAGAGAGACAGACAUAUAGACACAAGAGAGACAGACAGACAUGCAGUGAGAGAGACAGACAAGCAGGAGAGCAAAAAGAGAGAGAGAGAGAGAGAGAGAGAGA
ensembl:lncRNA